GAUGAACGCUGGCGGCGUGCCUAAUACAUGCAAGUAGAACGCUGAAGCUUGGUGCUUGCACCGAGCGGAUGAGUUGCGAACGGGUGAGUAACGCUUAGGUAACCUGCCUCUUAGCGGGGGAUAACUAUUGGAAACGAUAGCUAAUACCGCAUAAAAGUCGAUAUCGCAUGAUAUUGAUUUGAAAGGUGCAAAUGCAUCACUAAGAGAUGGACCUGCGUUGUAUUAGCUAGUUGGUGAGGUAACGGCUCACCAAGGCGACGAUACAUAGCCGACCUGAGAGGGUGAUCGGCCACACUGGGACUGAGACACGGCCCAGACUCCUACGGGAGGCAGCAGUAGGGAAUCUUCGGCAAUGGGGCAACCCUGACCGAGCAACGCCGCGUGAGUGAAGAAGGUUUUCGGAUCGUAAAGCUCUGUUGUAAGAGAAGAACGAGUGUGAGAGUGGAAAGUUCACACUGUGACGGUAACUUACCAGAAAGGGACGGCUAACUACGUG
rnacentral:rRNA from 1 species